UACGUAGGGUGCGAGCGUUAAUCGGAAUUACUGGGCGUAAAGAGCGUGUAGGCGGCCCGGUAAGUCCGCUGUGAAAGUCGGGGGCUCAACCCUCGAAUGCCGGUGGAUACUGUCGGGCUAGAGUGCGGAAGAGGCGAGUGGAAUUCCUGGUGUAGCGGUGAAAUGCGCAGAUAUCAGGAGGAACACCGGUGGCGAAGGCGGUUCUCUGGGCAUUACCUGACGCUGAGGAGCGAAAGUGUGGGGAGCGAACAGG
rnacentral:rRNA from 1 species